rnacentral:rRNA from 1 species
GACGAACGCUGGCGGCGUGCUUAACACAUGCAAGUCGAACGGAAAGGCCCUGCUUUUGUGGGGUGCUCGAGCGGCGAACGGGUGAGUAACACGUGAGUAACCUGCCCUUGACUUUGGGAUAACUUCAGGAAACUGGGGCUAAUACCGGAUAGGAGCUCCUGCUGCAUGGUGGGGGUUGGAAAGUUUCGGCGGCUGGGGAUGGACUCGCGGCUUAUCAGCUUGUUGGUGGGGUAGUGGCUUACCAAGGCUUUGACGGGUAGCCGGCCUGAGAGGGUGACCGGCCACAUUGGGACUGAGAUACGGCCCAGACUCCUACGGGAGGCAGCAGUGGGGAAUAUUGCACAAUGGGCGGAAGCCUGAUGCAGCAACGCCGCGUGCGGGAUGACGGCCUUCGGGUUGUAAACCGCUUUCGCCUGUGACGAAGCGUGAGUGACGGUAAUGGGUAAAGAAGCACCGGCUAACUACGUG